GGGGGAGUAGCUCAGACGGUUAGAGCGCACGCCUGAUAAGCGUGAGGUCGGUGGUUCGAUUCCACCCUUCCCCACCA
rnacentral:tRNA from 1 species